GCCCGGGCGGGCCGUCGCUGCGUCACGCUGCUCGCCCGCGGGCGCCCGCCCUUGCGCGCACGUCUUGGCGCCGGGUUGCCAGCGGUGUCCGGCUAGCAGGGACCGCCGCGGGGGGUGCAACCGUCGUCCUGAGCCGUCCGCCGCGUCCCGGGUGAGCGGGCAUGCAUGGCUUCGUCCUUGGGGAGAGCGUCGCGCUCCGGCAGGAUCGACCGGAUGA
rnacentral:rRNA from 1 species